rnacentral:lncRNA from 1 species
CUGGUGCCUGGUUGGUAAGAUUAAAUAGGUCUAACCGUCUAGCCUGUUGAUUGAGGGUGAUCUAGCUUAAUGUGGGUCAACUCAGGUGUGAAGUCCCUGUACCUAGUGAAUAAAAGGCUAAUAAAUCCCGCCUUCCAAUAGGUAUUUGCCUUUUGAGAAGUUGGUUAGGAGCUAUGGUCCUAACAUAAGGAGAUGUGAGAGGGAGAUAUAGAGGAAUGAGCAAGAGAGAGAAAGGAACAAAUUAAGGGCAAAAAAUUAGAGAGGAAAAGGUAGAGAACUUGGAGGUUCAAUCGC